rnacentral:misc_RNA from 1 species
GAUGAAGAACGUAGCGAAAUGCGAAAAGUAAUGUGAAUUGCAGAAUUCAGUGAACCAUCGAAUCUUUGAACGCACAUUGCGCCCGCUGGAACUCCGGCGGGCACGCCUGUCCGAGCGUCAUUUCAACCCUCAGGCCCCCCUUCGCGGGCGGGCCUGGUGUUGGGGCCCGGCCGCUACCCUGCGGCCGUCCCCUAAAUCCAGUGGCGGCCUCGCCGUGAUCCCUUGCGUAGUAAUGCACCUCGCACCAGAGAGCGCCGUGGCCACGCCGUAAAACCCCCAAUUUUCAAUGGUUGACCUCGGAUCAGGUGGGAAUACCCGCUGAACUUAAGCAUAUCAAUAAGCGGAGGA